GACGAACGCUGGCGGCGUGCUUAACACAUGCAAGUCGAACGGAAAGGCCCUGCUUUUGUGGGGUGCUCGAGUGGCGAACGGGUGAGUAACACGUGAGUAACCUGCCCUUGACUUUGGGAUAACUUCAGGAAACUGGGGCUAAUACCGGAUAGGAGCUCCUGCUGCAUGGUGGGGGUUGGAAAGUUUCGGCGGUUGGGGAUGGACUCGCGGCUUAUCAGCUUGUUGGUGGGGUAGUGGCUUACCAAGGCUUUGACGGGUAGCCGGCCUGAGAGGGUGACCGGCCACAUUGGGACUGGGAUACGGCCCAGACUCCUACGGGAGGCAGCAGUGGGGAAUAGUGCACAAUGGGCGGAAGCCUGAUGCAGCAACGCCGCGUGCGGGAUGACGGCCUUCGAGUUGUAAACCGCUUUCGCCUGUGACGAAGCGUGAGUGACGGUAAUGGGUAAAGAAGCACCGGCUAACUACGU
rnacentral:rRNA from 1 species